GAUGAACGCUGGCGGCGUGCUUAACACAUGCAAGUCGAACGAACCUUCGGGUUAGUGGCGGACGGGUGAGUAACGCGUGGGAAUCUGCCCUCAGGAGGGGGAUAACGGUUGGAAACGACCGCUAAUACCCCAUAUGCCGAGAGGUGAAAUGAAUUUCGCCUGAGGAUGAGCCCGCGUCUGAUUAGCUUGUUGGUGAGGUAAUGGCUCACCAAGGCUUCGAUCAGUAGCUGGUCUGAGAGGAUGAUCAGCCACACUGGGACUGAGACACGGCCCAGACUCCUACGGGAGGCAGCAGUGGGGAAUUUUCCGCAAUGGGCGAAAGCCUGACGGAGCAACGCCGCGUGAGGGACGAAGGCCUCUGGGCUGUAAACCUCUUUUCUCAAGGAAGAAGAUAUGACGGUACUUGAGGAAUAAGCCACGGCUAAUUCCGUGCCAGCAGCCGCGGUAAUACGGGAGUGGCAAGCGUUAUCCGGAAUUAUUGGGCGUAAAGCGUCCGCAGGCGGCCUUUCAAGUCUGCUGUUAAAACGUGGAGCUCAACUCCAUCAUGGCAGUGGAAACUGAUAGGCUUGAGUAUGGUAGGGGCAGAGGGAAUUCCCGGUGUAGCGGUGAAAUGCGUAGAUAUCGGGAAGAACACCAGUGGCGAAGGCGCUCUGCUGGGCCAUAACUGACGCUCAUGGACGAAAGCCAGGGGAGCGAAAGGGAUUAGAUACCCCUGUAGUCCUGGCCGUAAACGAUGAACACUAGGUGUCGGGGGAAUCGACCCCUUCGGUGUCGUAGCUAACGCGUUAAGUGUUCCGCCUGGGGAGUACGCACGCAAGUGUGAAACUCAAAGGAAUUGACGGGGGCCCGCACAAGCGGUGGAGUAUGUGGUUUAAUUCGAUGCAACGCGAAGAACCUUACCAGGGUUUGACAUCCUGCGAACCUUUAAGAAAUUAGAGGGUGCCUUCGGGAACGCAGUGACAGGUGGUGCAUGGCUGUCGUCAGCUCGUGUCGUGAGAUGUUGGGUUAAGUCCCGCAACGAGCGCAACCCACGUUUUUAGUUGCCAGCAUUUAGUUGGGCACUCUAGAAAGACCGCCGGUGAUAAACCGGAGGAAGGUGUGGAUGACGUCAAGUCAUCAUGCCCCUUACAUCCUGGGCUACACACGUACUACAAUGCUACGGACAAAGGGCAGCAAUCUCGCGAGAGCUAGCAAAUCCCAUAAACCGUGGCUCAGUUCAGAUCGUAGGCUGCAACUCGCCUACGUGAAGUAGGAAUCGCUAGUAAUCGCAGGUCAGCAUACUGCGGUGAAUACGUUCCCGGGCCUUGUACACACCGCCCGUC
rnacentral:rRNA from 1 species